GUGAAUUCAGUUUACGUACGUU
rnacentral:miRNA from 1 species